GCCGGCGUGGCGGAAUUGGUAGACGCAGCGGAUUCAAAAUCCGCCGAGGGCAACCUCUUGUCGGUUCGAGUCCGACCGCCGGUACCA
rnacentral:tRNA from 1 species